AGUCGAACGAGGAGCCUUUGUCUUCGGAUGAGGGAUUUCCUAGUGGCGAACGGGUGCGUAACGCGUUGGUGACCUGCCCCAAAGAGGAGGAUAACAGUUCGAAAGGACUGCUAAUACUCCGUAUUAUCAUUAGGAUUAGAUGCCUUUUGAUUAAAGGCGUAAGCCGCUUUGGGAGGGGCCUGCGUCCCAUCAGCUAGUUGGUAAGGUAACGGCCUACCAAGGCGAUGACGGGUAGGGGACCUGAGAGGGUGACCCCCCACACUGGCACUGAAACACGGGCCAGACACCUACGGGUGGCAGCAGUAGGGAAUAUUGGACAAUGGGCGAAAGCCUGAUCCAGCAACGCCGCGUGCGCGAUGACGGCCUUCGGGUUGUAAAGCGCUUUUAGAGGAGAUGAGAAAGGACAGUAUCCUCUGAAUAAGCCUCGGCGAACUACGUGCCAGCAGCCGCGGUAAAACGUAGGAGGCAAGCGUUAUCCGGAUUUAUUGGGCGUAAAGCGCGUGCAGGCGGUCUAGCAAGUUGGAUGUGAAAGCUCCCGGCUUAACCGGGAGAGGUCAUUCAAUACUGCUAGACUAGAGAAUGGGAGAGGGAGGUGGAAUUCUGGGUGUAGUGGUGAAAUGCGUAGAUAUCCAGAGG
rnacentral:rRNA from 1 species